rnacentral:lncRNA from 1 species
CCAGGUAAGCGAACGGAACCAAUUAAAUAACUAUCUUCCUUCAGGAUGUAGUCUCGGAACCACUUUUCUAGACACCAGUCAAACUGACUAACCCUAACCCGAUCUUACUCUUAGGAUCCCUUAUCCUAUUAAGCUCGAAAGUUCUUAGGGGCCAAUGUCUAAUUGAAUUUAGGUUAAGAUUUAGGUCAAUGCAAUAUGAAGGAUGGUGGUUUGUGGGCCAAGAAAGGGUGAUGAAAUUCUCACCUUAUCC